AGGUCGCACCCGCCUGCUCAGCCCCGCCUGGGCGCUGCUCCGCGGUCCCUGGGCCCCGUCUGACUUGGUCUGUAAAGGCGUCUCAGAGACUCAACCACCUUAGCUUCCAAAGUCCUGCCCUUCCAUUUCUGAAGUCGAGAUGCGACCAGAGAGCGCGCGGAGGGAUGAAUGGGAUGAGGCCCUUCACAGGCCGACCACACGCUUUCCUGCCGUGGACGCUGCUCCAGGGCUGUGGCCGCGGGUCUCGCGUGUGCAGCGGCUCGGGAGGUGCUUACUGUUACUGCCCCCGUGGGCCGCGAGGGAGCACAGGCGCAGAGAGGGCGAGAAACCUGUUCCAGAUCACACAGCUGUGACUUUCCUGAAGUAUAGUUGACCUACUACAGACUGUGAACACAUUUGAAAUAAAAUUUGGUGGAUGUCUGGUGGCUCCAGCACUGUCCUGUCUCCACUAGCUUCCCUUGGCACUUUUGUUGAAUGGACUGGCCAGAUACAGUUUUUUAGUUGUUUCAGGCAGGAAUUGUAAACCCAGGUCCUGCUAUUCCAUCUUGACUGGAAAUGGCAGACCAACGAACCAAGGCUUUGGAUCCCAAAUUGUGUGCUCUUUCCACAAGAAGCCUGAUGGAAGAGAGGUGACGGCUGGUCUUGGAGCUGUGGUUGGAGGUCUCAGGCUGCCUCUGGGCUUAACCCCUCCUUGAGUUUGUUGACGAAGGUCGAAGCCUGAGCACCAGUGACGUUUCCAGCUGCUGGCCGCCACGAAGACGGGGCAGCACAAGUUCCACGGCAGCUCAGAAGGUUAGCUCGAGCUUCAGCCUGGCAGCCAACGAUCACCGGGACGACCGGUCCUGACCCAGCUGCUCAGCUCUCGUGGAGCCAACUUAAUUACACAGUUGGAACAGCUGCUCGAGCCGGCCAAUGACACAGGGCAAGAAUCAGUCAAGGGAGAAACAAGGCGGGAUUAAUCUGGGGUCUCACUCGUUAAGACCUCCUGCUGUCAUCCCUUGCCAAGCCACUGAGCUGUCACUUCUUAGAAAAUGAUCACAUACCUCCAGCUGCUCUUCCUAAUUCCCUUGAUUUUGCAGAAAUCAUAACAACCCCAGGAGUCGUCAAAAGCCCGGAGCACGUAAUUUGUUCCACUCAGGAAAAUCCUUCCAAGGAGCCUGGGGGUAGUCCACAGGGCCCGGCCUUCUCUCCUUCCACCUUCCUGCCUGCCUCUUCUCGUCCCCUCUGGCUGCUGGAGUGCGGCUGAAGGUGGGCGUCAG
rnacentral:lncRNA from 1 species